GCCGUCGUAGCACAAUGGUAGUGCGUUGCCUUCCUAAGGUCUUGUACCAGGCAAAGGUUGCGGGUUCGAUCCCCGUCGUCGGUA